CCUCCAGCAAUGUGUGCACCUGGUGGGCAGGGGGAGGCUGUGCCUGCACUAACAUGUAAGCAUGGGUGAACUGAUGCUUGGCCUCGUUCAGCCAAUUCAGGAAGGAUGUAAGCUUCACUAGAGAUUCACAUACACCUAAAGUGAGGCACGUACCUGGGUCUGAUGGUGUCAUGGGCAUCUGCAGGCUGGUUUCUGUGCUUGUGCCAAAUCUCACAGCUCACCACGCAGCUCCACAGGGCGCUGUUUGCACACCUGGCCCCUUCACUGAGUUCCUGCAAGCUUCUGGAGAACCGUCGCCUUCAGAUAUCUCCUCCAUCUGAAAGCAUCUCAGGAUACUGCUGCCUCAGGUAAUGCUGCUACACAAAAUCAGAGUGUCCCUGUACUGCUGAUGAAACUUUCCCUGUUGUAUUCCACUGGGAGCUGUUAGCAGUGCUGUGUGACAUCCAGAGAGAAGGCACGUUUAACACCACAGCAAGCACUCAGGUUUAAGAAAAAACACACAUGAAGAGGAAGUCUCAUUAUGUCUGAAAGCUUCUAUCAAGAAAUAUAGAUCAGAGUCCUCAAUAUGACAAAGUCAGUGAAUUUCUGGAGACAAAGACCCAACAGAUAACUUGAGAAACAUGGACAUAUGAAAUAUUAAAAAACCAGCCUUGACAAAAAUGCACUUUGAAGGUAAUAUUACGCUGCAAAAGCUCAGAAAAUAUUUAUAAACAGAGCAAUGAAAGAGAGAUCCGAAGAUAGACACUGAUUACGUGUGUAAAAAAAAGACUGCAUUGGGUCAGGACAAAAAUGCAGAAAACCUGUCAAAAUCUGACAAUCAUCCACAGCAUAUGUUUGGGGAAGAAGCAUACGGACAAGGCAAACAAUUUCAGAGAAAGAGUUGGUCUCUCAGGUCUCAGCACACAAAUUAAUGCACGCUGGGUGUGAACUGCGCUCUCACAUCUGUAAGGAUGCAACUAUGUUCACAGAUAAGAUUUGUCUGCUGUUGUUUAUCCUAUCUUCACUGAAGCACUGUUUUUGUUACUGUGAGAAAUGCAAGAGAGGAGCACAUUACAGCAUUCAUAGCAUUCAAAAGAACAUAAUUACAUCCUCUGUAAUACUGUUGCACUGAUGACCUGCAGUACUCAGGCAGAACUAUGCCUCAGAGCAGAGGGGUGUUCCGUCUGGAAGUGCUCAAGGGAGAUGUGAGAAGGUACAAGGUGUGACUGGUUCUGUGGUAUGGACACGUUCACUGGGAACUGGGCUCUUGAAAUGGUUUUGGAAAGCAGCAGGUGGUGGAUAGUUAUACCCAGAACUGAAGCUUUUCAUGUUUACACAGUUCUAUGACUAGUGUUCUCAGCAAUAAGGAACUGCUGUUCUUGUAAUAAGCUUCAUCAUGAACUUUGAAAUGAGUAGAAACCAUAAGGACUUUGACUUGGUAUAGCUCAUCUUCCUUAGUUCUGUUGUUGUCAGUAUUCAGCAUAAUUAAGUUAAAACAAGUUUGGAAACAUCUCUUGAGUCUUAGAACGACUUCUAGAGAGGACAAUGGAGAUGUACCCUGUGCUUAUAACAUCACCAAGACACUCAGAAUUAAUGUAUUCCCUUUUCUCAGGAGUUACUUUUUUUUUUUUUUUUUUUAAUGUGAUCACAAGGAGUUUUAGGAGGACACAGUUUGAUUUUGUACUGUGAUAGUAGAUAUUUCAGUGCUGCACUCAAAAGUAAAUAUUUUUGUGUUUUUACACAGACCUUCUGUUUUUUUUCUGGCAUGUCUCUGCUUGCUUGGAUAAUUCUCAAGAGAAAGGAUAAGACAGUAGUCAACCAUCUCAUCAGAAAGAAGCAGAUUGCAGGUUGUCCUCCAGAGAAUCCUGGCACUGGAGCUGGCAGAGAUCUAGCCAUUAGACCUGACCUGUAUUGCUACCUUCCAGGUUGUCUCAUCCCUGGCUCCCUGACUUCUUGCCUGCCAUUCUGAACCUCUCAGAACAUUCAAGACAACAUUACACACGAUGUGCACUCACUGCUUCCUUGCUUUCUCCUAGACGUCCAACACCAAACGGGUGGAGAUAUCAGGGCCAUCACACCCACCCUCCAGAAGUGGCUAGCCUGCUUGGUAAGGGGUGUGAUACGCUACUUAGGCAUCUCCUUGUAUUGGGUAGACUGGAGCUUCCUACCUUUGAGAUGGUUUGAAUUUCCUGCUCUAAUCUCUGCCUAUGAAGAACAUGUCCCAAAUGUACUGAAGUGAAAUGAAAUGGAAUAGUGUGGUUGUUCAACACUACGUAAGAAAUGUAUGGAGUAAUAAGAGCUUACACUCUGAAGCUAAGAAUUGGCUCAGAGAUGGAUAAAAAUUACCAUGAUGUAUUCCUGUUGUUUUCAGUCAAGAUAAAUUCUUCUGCUUAUUCACAGACUGUUUUAAAAUCUACCUUUACUUUUCUUCUCCUACCAGUUUUAUUCAAAUGUAAAUCUGUUGACUUUAGCAGAGUUCUGAUAUUUGUCUCAUUUCCUCAGUGUAUUUUUCCAGUCUUAUGCAUGACUUUUCCUCCUGAAACACCCAACUCACCAAGGUCUACGAUAUACAAACUGGAGCACCUUCAAAUUGCAGGAGGCUGAGAGGGCAUUACUGCACACUGACUUUGUCUUAGUCCCUUUUGUAGGCCUCUGCUGUCAGAUGGAAUAUUGAACUGGGUGUACCCAUCUAUAUGCACGGGGAACUAUUUAUUGUAUUCUUCUGAUUGCUACUCUACAGUUAAAGUAUUGAAAUCCUCUUUUAAGGGGACUAACACACGGAGCUAUUUUUAGAGUUCAGAAAUAAAAACACGAAUAAAAAAAUUCA